rnacentral:rRNA from 1 species
UACAGAGGCCUCGAGCGUUAGGCGGAAUCACUGGGCUUAAAGGGCGCGUAGGCGGCCGUCCAAGUCGGGUGUGAAAUCCCUCGGCUCAACCGAGGAACUGCACUCGAUACUGGUCGGCUAGAGUCCGGGAGGGGAUGGUGGAAUUCCCAGUGUAGCGGUGAAAUGCGUAGAUAUUGGGAAGAACACCGGUGGCGAAGGCGGCCAUCUGGACCGGAACUGACGCUGAGGCGCGAAAGCCAGGGGAGCGAAUGGG